rnacentral:lncRNA from 1 species
CCUUGCAAUGAGAUCAUUUUGUUGGUCCAUACUGCAUUGUGAGCACAAAUAUCAGGUGCCAAUAGGUAGUUAUGGAUACAACACAUCUAAAAGAGUAAGUAGCCAGAAAUAGCAAAACUUGGCUAAAUAAACGUUUUUGGACUUCAGGCAUCAACAUCGUAAAGUGUAAAGAACGUAAAUAUACCUGCGUUGUAUGCAAAACCAACCCAUCAGUGUCCUUAGCAACACAAUAAAGAGCAAAUGUGACAUGUCCAGAUCCACAUGUCUGCACCUUAAAUACUUAGAAAAGCGUGAGACAGCAGUAAUACAAAAAAGAGUGAUAUCCACAUAAGACAUAAUCACAAAAAAGUUCAGAAAAAAGAAUAGCGUU